rnacentral:RNase_P_RNA from 1 species
UCAGACGGCCGGAUGGUCGCCUUUCGCGCCGGGGAAACCCUGCGGGGGGAGGAAAGUCCGGGCUCCACGGAGACACGGUGCCGGGUAACGCCCGGCGGGGGCGACCCCAGGGAAAGUGCCACAGAGAGCAGACCGCCGCGCCGAACCCCCUGGCAUUGCCCGGGGGCGAAGGCAGGCAAGGGUGAAAGGGUGCGGUAAGAGCGCACCGCGUUCCCGGCGACGGGAACGGCAUGGCAAACCCCACCGGGAGCAAGACCGAAUAGGGGCGGCAUCGCGGGUUUCGGCCCGCAGGCGCGUUUCCGCGUCGCUGCCCGGGUAGGUCGCGCGAGGCGUCCGGCAACGGGCGUCCCAGAUGAAUGGCCAUCCCUCCCGGCGCCCCGGCGACGGGAGGACAGAACCCGGCUUACAGGCCGUCUGACCCC